rnacentral:lncRNA from 1 species
UUACCUUUGAUGUGGCUUUAAGAGAGGUGCCUUCUCUAGUUAACUACCAUUUGCAACACUGCAGGGAAGUCCCCCAAGUGUAGGCCUGUCUGCUCUACAGUGAACCUCUGAGAGCUGAGUUGCUCCGGGCCACCUGCCGAAUCUUCAUAUGGCACCCCUUCAACCUUGGGCGAUGGUGAAAUCACCGACUCUCAGCCUACUACACGAAGAACUUCAUUUUGGAUAAAACGCCCGUAUCCUGGCUGCUUCAUCCUGCAGGCGGCAGGAUUUGGUUCCCUGUGGUUCCAGAUGGUGCCGGAUUUCCCCAUGUUGAGAGCAUAGCUCUCAGUUUGAUGUGGCAGUGUUUGCUGUGGUUAUGUCUUUCAACACACUUCCUGCUUUUCUUACAAAACAGAGACUGCUCAUCCCUCUCUUGGAGGCCACAGCCCAAACGCUUACAGGUUUAUUAGAGGGCCAACUUGAGCAGGCCUUGGGCACGUGUUCGGCCCCUCAGUGUGUGGCCUUUUUCUCUGCGAACAUCAGGGUUAAUCUAUUGUGGACUUUACUUUCUGUUGGAGUGAAUGAUUGCAAUUCUGUGAAGGGAACAUGAGGUUUGCAGCAACUCACAGCUUCAGCUUUCAAGUGGAAAUCUUGUUUGGCUCCCCCAGCAACAAGAGAAGAUAGAAUCCAGCCAUUUUUGUAGUCAAGAUUGCCUGGGUCACGUGAUCUCAAUGGCAAUGAUCACAGUUGCUAGAAAUUCAGAGAUUCCUAAGCUACAGGAGCUGAAAAGGGCCGGAGAACUUCUAAAGGCAACUCCUCUAUGUUUCAGAGGUGGAAGCAGAAGUCCAGAGAGGUUAAAGGACUGGCCCAAGGUCACACAACUAGCCUGAUCUUCAUGGUCAUUGUGGAAUCAUUCCAAAAAUAUUUUGGAUGCAUUUCUUUGCUUAGUCAUCCCCAUUUCCUACAACUUCUAACCACCAUAUGAUAAAAAUAAUGUAUUAACCAUUUAUUUUUUUAGUGAAUUUUGGCCUUAUGGAAAUAACAAAAGCCACGUUACAGUAUAAUUGGAAAAUAGAGGGGAAAAAAUCGCCCACACAAUA